UUUGAUAAAAAGAAAAAAAUU
rnacentral:piRNA from 1 species